rnacentral:misc_RNA from 1 species
AAGUCGUAACAAGGUUUCCGUAGGUGAACCUGCGGAAGGAUCAUUAAUGAAUAAACUUGGUGGAUUGUCGCUGGCUUCUUAGGGAGCAUGUGCACGUCUGUCAUAUUUAUGUUUCCACCUGUGCACCUUCUGUAGACCUGGACACACCCAACUUCUCUGAGGCAGCUCAGGCAUGAGGAUUGCAGGCAUUACAUGUCAGCUUUCCUUGAAGUAUCCAGGCCUAUGUAUUUUCACAUACACCUAAUUAAUGUAUCAGAAUGUCAAUGAAAGGUCUUUGUACCUAUAACAAUUAUACAACUUUCAGCAACGGAUCUCUUGGCUCUC